UUCCGAUCUAGUCGGUAGAGCAGGGGAUUGAAAAUCCCCGUGUCCUUGGUUCGAUUCCGAGUCCGGGCACCA
rnacentral:tRNA from 1 species